GACGAACGCUGGCGGCGUGCUUAACACAUGCAAGUCGAACGGAAAGACCCUGCUUUUGUGGGGUGCUCGAGCGGCGAACGGGUGAGUAACACGUGAGUAACCUGCCCUUGACUUUGGGAUAACUUCAGGAAACUGGGGCUAAUACCGGAUAGGAGCUCCUGCUGCAUGGUGGGGGUUGGAAAGUUUCGGCGGUUGGGGAUGGACUCGCGGCUUAUCAGCUUGUUGGUGGGGUAGUGGCUUACCAAGGCUUUGACGGGUAGCCGGCCUGAGAGGGUGACCGGCCACAUUGGGACUGAGAUACGGCCCAGACUCCUACGGGAGGCAGCAGUGGGGAAUAUUGCACAAUGGGCGGAAGCCGUAUGCAGCAACGCCGCGUGCGGGAUGACGGCCUUCGGGUUGUAAACCGCUUUCGCCUGUGACGAAGCGUGAGUGACGGUAAUGGGUAAAGAAGCACCGGCUAACUACGUG
rnacentral:rRNA from 1 species